rnacentral:rRNA from 1 species
UACGGAGGGUGCAAGCGUUAUCCGGAUUCACUGGGUUUAAAGGGUGCGUAGGUGGGCAGGUAAGUCAGUGGUGAAAUCUCCGGGCUUAACCCGGAAACUGCCGUUGAUACUAUUUGUCCUGAAUAUUGUGGAGGUAAGCGGAAUAUGUCAUGUAGCGGUGAAAUGCUUAGAUAUGACAUAGAACACCAAUUGCGAAGGCAGCUUACUACACAAUGAUUGGCACUGAGGCACGAAAGCGUGGGGAUCAAACAGG